UACGACCAUCACGGACCAGACUCCCGUAGAGACGGUGGUCGACAUGUUUAGGAAGCUGGGACUCCGACAGACGCUCGUCACGCAUAACGGCCGUCUGCUGGGAAUCGUCACGAAGAAGGACGUGUUACGGCACAUCAAGCAGCUUGAGAACAAGGAUCCGUCGACCGUGCUGUUCGACUAACCGGCGCGGUCCGCCUCUUAACUCAAAGCAGCUUGAGAACAAGGAUCCGUCGACCCGUGCUGUUCGACUAGCAUCGCGCGCGUCCGCCAUCUUAAUAUUAUCAAGCAGCUUGAGAACAAGGAUCCGUCGACCGUGCUGUUCGACUAGCAUCGCGCGCGUCCCGCCAUCUUAAUCUCAAGCAGCUUGAGAACAAGGAUCCGUUGACGGUGCUGUUCGACUAACCGGCGCGCGUCCGCCAUCUUAAUCUCAAGCAGCUUUGAGAACAAGGAUCCGUCGACCGUGCUGUUCGACUAGCAUCGCGCGCGUCCGCCAUCUUAAUCGCGUUAAAUUCUCGGCUUCGUCGUCUUCGCUUCAGUUCGUAGCGAGCGCAUGUUUUCACUCAGGCUCUCCUGCGCGAGCAAGAGAGAGAGAGAGAGAGAGAGAGAGAGAGAGACGAGGAGGAUAGAGAGAGAGGAGAGAGAGAGAGAGAGAGAGAGAGAGAGAAG